GGGUUUAGUUAUUCUGGAGGAUGGAUUCAGGGGAUGUGUCUCUUCCAAGGAGGAGGACUAGACAGCAAUUCUUGAAAUAUUGGGUUGAGUUAAUUGAGAAAAGGAAUAGUUUGGGUCGAACUGGUAAUCCUACUCAGUCUUCGACUUGUUCGGUGAAUAUUGUAGAGGAUGUGAGUUGUGGGAGGAAAAGAGAUAGGGUGGAGGAGAACACAGAUUCUGCAGAUGGCAAGAGAAAAAUGGAAAAAUCAGAAGAUGGAAGUAUGGUAAAGGUGGACAAUGGGAGGAGUAACUUCAGCCCAGGAACUUGUGAGUCCAUUACGAAACCGCCUUUCAUCCACGAAAUAUCUGAUGAUGAUGGGGAGGAGGAGGGGAAGGAGAAUGAUGUUUUAAUUGGGGAGGCUGCUGCAGGCUCUGCUGUAAAUACUGGAUCAUGUUCAGUAUCUUGGUCCAAUGUGGGCUCUGUUGGGUUAAAGAGUCCUAUGUUGAAUGUAGCAGAUGAGGUUGUUUCAUCCACCUCAAGCAUGUGUUGGACCGCAGAUAAAUCAGAAGAGGUUGUUGUUCCAAUUGCAUCUUCUGAGUCAGAAUCUGAAGCUUCAAGUGAUGAGGAUAAUGAUGACUCCGAAGAUGAGAAUUACCAGGUGAAAGAAUCAUCAAGUUCUAGUGAAUCUGAUGAUGUAAGAAGUGAUAAAUCGAAAGAUGAUGAGGAAUCAAAAGAUGGUGAUACAUUGAAAGAUGAUGAUCUGAGUUGUCCAACAGAGCAAGAACACCAUGAAGAACGAAACAAGGAGUCAAAUGGUGGGGAGCUAGUACCUCAGCUUGCUGUUAAGGGUGAAAAGAACAACAAAGGCCGAUCUUAUCUUCUUCGGCCGCGCUCACUUCCUAAGUCCAAAAAGAAGAAGUUAAACCAUGGAAAUUGUAGCAGCCCGAUUCUUCUUAGUGAAUCCUCAUCUGAGGAGGACUGUGAUGUUGAUGAGUCGGUGCAAAAUGUCGUUCAAAAGGAUGCUGUUCGAAAGGUUAGAAAGACUCGGAAGAAGAUUCUUAAAGAUUCUGAAUUUCUGAAGUUUGUCGUUGAUUCUAUAAUAAAUGUUGAUGAUCAUGAUAAACUAACUCCUCCUGAAGAGAAAGAACAAAAGGAACAGGAUCCUGUCAAAGAAGCACUUCCUUUAAUAUUCCGGUUUGAAGACGAGGAACCUCUCCCGCCAGAGAAAGAAGAAUGGGAAAAGGGAGUUGAUGAUCUUUUUGUUGAAAUGGACAUGUGUAUCUUAGAAUCACGUAUUGGCUUUACAAAUCCAUCUGAUUCACCUAUACAAAGUGAAAAAAUAAGUGGCUGUCAGAUGGGGAACCACCAGCUUGUUCUAGAUGAACAAAUUGGACUCAUCUGUAAAGUUUGUUCCCAUGUGCAUUUGGAGAGCAAGUACAUCUUCCCUCCAUUUGCUGAGAGAACCCGAGGGAGACAUGAAAGAAAAUAUUUUGGAGAGUCGCCAUCCCUCUUGGAUGUUGAUGGCUUCAAAUUUUAUGAUUCUUCUGCCGUUCAUGAUGCUGCUAUUUAUGGGGAAGGAACUGUGUGGGAUUUAGUUCCCCUUAGUGCCAAAACAACAAUGUAUCCUCAUCAGCGUGAAGGAUUUGAGUUCAUGUGGAGAAAUAUUGUUGGAGAUAUGUAUCUUGAGAAGCUGAAAGAGCCUAUAUCUGGUAAUAGGGGAGGAUGCAUAAUCUCACAUCCACCUGGCACAGGAAAAACCCGUCUCACUAUAGUUUUUCUUCAGGCAUUUUUGAAGCAGUUUCCAAAGUGUCGGCCUGUAAUCAUAGCUCCAUCCAAUUUGCUUCUUAACUGGGAAGCCGAGUUCCAAAAGUGGGAGGUCGACAUUCCCUUCCACAACUUGAACAGCAAAGAUUUCUCUUUCCAGGAAGAUGAAGCCACUGUUAGUGUCUUCCACUGUUUAUCCCGUGCCGGAAAAAACAAUCCACACCUUAUACGUAUGGUGAAGCUGAGAUCCUGGGCUAAAAGUAAGAGUGUUUUGGGAAUCAGCUAUGACUUGUUUAGGAUUCUCACGGGAGAAGAUGGAGACAGUUAUGCCACAGAGAUUAGAGAAAUACUUCUAAAGUUACCUGGUCUUCUGGUCCUUGAAGAAGGGCACACUGCUCGGAACGAUCAAAGCCUUGUGUGGAAAGCUUUGAAUAAAAUUGAAACAGAGAAGCGCAUUCUUUUGUCUGGAACUCCGUUCCAGAAUAACAUCAAAGAGUUGUACAACACCCUAUGCGUAGUUAGUCCAAAAUUUGCUGCAGAUUUGGAGCAUAAAUGGGCUUAUCUUAGCAGUUCCAUUGACAAGAAUGUCCGAGCAUUGGAAGAGCUUAGGGAUAUGAUUGCACCACUAGUCCAUAAAUGUAGUGAAAAUGUGAAGAAGGUAAGCCUUCCGGGUAUAAGGGAUAUUGUGAUACAUUUGAAGCCCACACAUUUGCAGAAGGAGUUGCUUAAAAGAAUUCCAGAGAAUCCAGGCUCCUUUUACGAACAAAAUAUGGUGUCUCUAAUCUCUGUUCAUCCUUCAUUAGUGGCAACGAGGAAGGAGUUCGUUGACUUAGAAAGUCAGCUAAAAGAAAGAGGAUGUCGGUUGGAUCCAGAUAAUGGAGUAAAAAUGAAAUUUGUUGUUGAACUAAUCAGACUCUGUGGUGGAUUGAAGGAGAGGGUUAUAAUAUUUAGCCAGUUACUUGAUCCUCUAAACUUGAUCAAGGAGCAACUCAAUUCUCUUUUUGGCUGGACUUUAGGCCGAGAGAUCCUCUAUAUGGAUGGAAAACUUGAUGUAAAGCAGCGGCAGAUAUCAAUAAAUUCUCUUAAUGACCCUAAGAGUGAUGUAAAAGUGCUUCUUGCAUCAAUAAAAGCCUGUUCAGAAGGAAUAAGUCUUAUAGGGGCCUCAAGAGUGGUUUUGCUUGACGUUCUCUGGAAUCCCUCAGUAGAACAGCAAGCCAUCAGUCGAGCCUACAGAAAUGGUCAGACUAAAUUUGUUCAUGUUUACUGUCCAGUGUCAUCAAAAUGGGAGGUGGACAAGAUCGAACAGCAGACAAAAAAAAAAUAUCAUUCAGAUGUUAUUAUGUCUAGGAAUAAAGUGAAUACUUUCAAGAUGGAUCCUUCAUGUUCUGUGUCAGAGGAUACCGUACUAGAAUCCAUGGUUAAGCAUGAGUGCCUCCGUCAUAUUUUUGAAAAACUAUCUCAUGCACCACGUGUGGUGCCUCCUACUACAUGCUUUAAUUCUCGUAACCAACCUUCAAAACUGAGCUGUUAGAUCGGUUGGAGCUUUUUUUGGGUUGUGAAGGACACUUGUUAGGACUUACAGCGGAGCCUAGAAGAAUUUUUGCAGUCAUCCUUUUAUGAGGUGCUUCAUGACAGAUUCACGCCUGGUUAAUGAAGAAUGCUGAUAGGAGUUUUCAUCACCCACAGGAUGUUCUUGUAACAUUGUUUUGCCAGACAUUUUUUUGUUUCAGAACUGUGAAAAAUCUCAGGCUCUUCCAUCUGUGUAGCAUAUUCCUCAACACAAUUGUAUUUUGGCUUAAGUCUCUUGGUAU